UUUUAUAUAACCAAAAAAAGCUAGUUACAGCUGAACUUUGUCGACCUCUGGUGUUUUGGUCUGCGAGAAACAACAAUGAACAAAACCACAGAGACCCUUUAAAAAAACGAGAUUUUGAUUUUGAUUUGAUAAACCCUAAUAAAACCCAUAAUUAGGUUGAGGUUUAUUGGACGCCAAUUUCUCAGGAGUAGAUGGUACAGCUGAGUUUUAGUGGUGCCUGAAGCCAUUUGGGAGUAUUCUGUUUCUGGUUCCUCAAAUCGAGGGCAAAUAUGGAAUAAAAUGUUUAUGUUUACUACAACAUCUCAAAAGAUCCCAGUGAGCAUGUUGUUCCUGAAAGAGAUGCACAUGCAAUUCCUUAUCUUAUCAAUUAGUUGUAUUACAUAUGAAUCACCAAAAUCGGAUUGGUAUGGAAGAGAUGGCAGAUCACAUCCCUGAGAGGGUUUCACCGUGUGUUUAGCACCACAUGCUUUAGAUGAAGGGAUUGUACCGGCAGUUUCUUUUGGCGAACUACUUGAUAACGUAUUAGUGAUGGGGAGUUACCUGAACACACCAAAAUCAUAUGCUUAUGUUGUGAAUACUCUUCAUUCAGCUCAAAAUAGUAAUUGAAUGCAAACUACACUGUUUAUUGCAAGACUUACUGUAGCUGCUGCUGCUCUUGCUGGUAGAUAUGGUGUUCAAGCUGGGCACACAUUCAAAACACGACUAUCAACAGCUUGAAUGCGAAAAUUCGACGUGUUUCAACUGGCAAUGACCAACAGGGAAGCAACUCUUAUUCUUGACGUCAGAUAAGCUUGUUGAGGAGGAGGAAGGGACCUUUCAAUUCGGACUUCUUACAUUAAUUUUUGCCGGUGCUGGAGCUAACCUUCUGUCAUGGUUGGUUCUCCCAAGAAACGCAGUUUCUCUUGGAGCAUCUGGUGCUGUGUUCGGUCUAUUCUCUAUUAGAUUUCUCGUGAUGUAUUGGGCUGGAGAAAGAUCCUUGAAAUUCUUAUACUGGGCCAAGUUGUAAUCGAGAAGG